rnacentral:rRNA from 1 species
UUACCAAACUGUUGCCUCGGCGGGGUCACGCCCCGGGUGCGUCGCAGCCCCGGAACCAGGCGCCCGCCGGAGGAACCAACCAAACUCUUUCUGUAGUCCCCUCGCGGACGUAUUUCUUUACAGCUCUGAGCAAAAAUUCAAAAUGAAUCAAAACUUUCAACAACGGAUCUCUUGGUUCUGGCAUCGAUGAAGAACGCAGCGAAAUGCGAUAAGUAAUGUGAAUUGCAGAAUUCAGUGAAUCAUCGAAUCUUUGAACGCACAUUGCGCCCGCCAGUAUUCUGGCGGGCAUGCCUGUCCGAGCGUCAUUUCAACCCUCGAACCCCUCCGGGGGAUCGGCGUUGGGGAUCGGGACCCCUCACACGGGUGCCGGCCCCUAAAUACAGUGGCGGUCUCGCCGCAGCCUCUCCUGCGCAGUAGUUUGCACAACUCGCACCGGGAGCGCGGCGCGUCCACGUCCGUAAAACACCCAACUUUCUGAAAUUGUUGACCUCGGAUCAAAUAGGAAUACCCCUGAACUUA